UGAUGUAUGGUAAGUGGUCAGAGCGCUUGGACGGCUGCCAAGAGGCCUGGGUUCGAUUCCCGCUAGGUCCA
rnacentral:tRNA from 1 species